AGUUCCAAACCUUUUCUGCCUUAUGGUUCCUGGGGUUGCUUAUGGGAAGGCAACCUAUGUCUGGUUCCAUUGCUUUAUGUUGAACAUCCAUCUCUCUUAGGAGAGGGGCCACGCAACCAACUACCUCGUAUACAGUCUCCAGGGCCAGAAAUAAGCCUGGCUAGGGGCAGGAUACAACUGAAUGAUGAUGAAGAAUCUGUGGACUUUCUGUCACCUAUUCUUCCCUGAAGAUGCAAACGUGAAGUGAAGAAAAAGAAGCAAAGCAAGCCAUAACAUUAUAGAGGCAGUGGUGGAGCCAGCAACAGCACCUUCCUUCCUGGGGUGGCUGCGGUGGGUCCAUGGUGAACACCUGAAAGACCUCACAGUGUCUCCCCAGUAAAGCAGCGGUGGUGGUGGUCCCUGGGCCCGGCAGCCAUUUCAUCUCAUCCAGGACCCAUUUGUCUAGGACUAGGGCUUGGGCGGCAGCAGCGGGGCAGGAUGACGAGUCAACCCAGAUGGUCGCGGUUGGGAGCUGGUUGGUGUUGAUGAAGAAGAUGACUGGAAAAGGUGGUGCAUUGGGGCGACUGGAAUGUGACCGUGUACGCCACACCCUGGAUGGAGGAACCGAGACAUCUCACCACGGAAGCCUGAAUAGCAGACAGUUUUUGGACCCCAUUUUCCUUGGUCACAUUAGCGCUGUCGAUGGAUGCUAAAUCCCCAUCACCUGCCUGGUUUAUCAGAGCUCAGAAUAUCAGCUGGAAACACAUUCUUCCUGAGGCCCCUGCAAGGAAUUCCAGUGUUUGAACCUUUUGCACUUGGGUCCAUUGUGGCCUACUUUGGCUUUUAGACUGUGUUUAUGUAUAUGGAUAUUGUUCCUGUAUUUUGCUUUGUAAAUUAAUUUGAUUUUUUUUAUUGUACCUUGAGUAUUCUAUUGCAAACCGCUUUGAGAUCUUUCAGAUAGUAAGCAGUCUAUAAAUGGAAAUAUAAAUAAAUAAAUAAAAUAAAAGAGAGAGGGCAGUCACAGGUAGCAGGACUGAAGAAAAAGCAGCAAGCUGGGCAACUGAAGACCCCUUUCCAAGUGGAAAUGAAGUGCUGUAAGGAGGGAUCAGUAUUGAAGAGACUGUGAAAAAUGCUCAUAUUCACAGAGAGAGUUUCACAAAAGAUCUGGUGUAAACAUAUGGCACACACACAAAAACAUGAAGUCAAAGUAAUAACAAAAUUCAAGGAGGAUGUGGGCUGGGGAGUUGGGUUUUUUAAUGAGACUAUGAGUUUGGUCAACAGGCUACUAUGCAAGGCAACAGUAGUAAAACAGUGCCUUGAAGAAAAUACUUGUCAGAAAUGCUGCUGAUAUAAAUUGCCUGGAGAUGAAUGCACAAAGGGUGCCCUUAGAGACUCCUUAUAUUAGUUCAUUGCAAAAGGAUGUUUCUCUCUACAUCUUCACCCAAGCACAUCUCAAGCUUAUUAAUUCUGAAAAACAGAUAGACUCUUCUGUAAAUGUUAUCAUCGUUGAGUGGCAGGCUGCAAAAAGUCCUUUCUCUUCUUUUUUUAUGAAACAAUAUUCCUUAAGCCAUUUCUAAGGUGGCAAAGACUCCUCAACACCCAAAAAGCAAUCUCUCUAUCCAUUUUUCAGGGACUGCUUUAUUGGUGUGUUAAGUAAUUCUGGUAGCUCUUGCUCCUUCUCAAUGUUUUUUAAAUGACAUUUUACUGCACUUUCCCCCCCGAAGAAAUAAUGGGUGAUAUCCAUCAUUAGUCAUACUCUGGGUAGACCUGUUGAAAUCAAUGAAUUUAAGUAGCUCAAGUCCAUUGGUGUCAGUGGAUGUACCCUGAGGACAAUUUUGUUGGAUAACACCCAUAUAACUAAAUCAAAUGAAGUGAAUGAAAACUUAAAUCCAGAAGACCUUAAUACAGGUAAUUAAAACAGAUAAUGACAAGAUUAACAAUCUGACAAAAAUGAUACAGAAAAUAAGCCCUUCCAAAAAAAGAUAUGUGCUUAUUUGAGAAAUGCUGUACUGCAGAAUUGUCGAUAUAAGAAAUAAACCUUCUCUCAAUAAA